rnacentral:rRNA from 1 species
CGAACCUACGGGAGGCAGCAGUGGGGAAUAUUGCGCAAUGGACGAAAGUCUGACGCAGCGACGCCGCGUGAGGGAUGAAGGUUUUCGGAUCGUAAACCUCUGUCAGGAGGGAAGAAAGCGCAUGGCGCCAAUCAGCCAUGCGUUGACGGUACCUCCAAAGGAAGCGCCGGCUAACUCCGUGCCAGCAGCCGCGGUAAUACGGAGGAUGCGAGCGUUAUCCGGAUUUAUUGGGUUUAAAGGGUGCGUAGGCGGAUUUUUAAGUCAGCGGUAAAAUGUCCGGGCUCAACCCGGGCCGGCCGUUGAAA